rnacentral:lncRNA from 1 species
CCUAGAAGUCAAUCUUGGCUGACACAUACUUUUCUUUAGGAUAUAUUUUAUACUUAAUGGGUAGUCUUGAUAACCAAUCAUGUCUUAUGUGUUCAUGAUUUGUCCUAUAAAUUAAUAAAGAUAAUUUUGUAUAAUCUCAAGAUAUUGAGAAUUUGAGACAUACAUCAUUAGUGGUUAAUUUUUAAAUACUCCCGAUCGGAGGAUCAUCACGGAGGAUAGUGAUCAAUCUAUUCAAGAUUGGUGCAUGGAUUACCUCCCUUUAGGAUAGAUGAGUCUCGAGUCUGCGGUAUAGAGACACUG